rnacentral:rRNA from 1 species
GGGGGGGAUUGUAGGUGCAGGCUCCCCAAACCAUCGCGACGAACCACUGAACAGUUGCUUCGGCAGGCCGGCCCCCCGCCCACCCGCGGGGGGCCGCCGAGGGCCUGCCGGAGGCACCCAAACCAUUGCUUUUUUACCGGCCUCUCUGAGUACUGUACUUAAAAUGAGUCAAAACUUUCAACAACGGAUCUCUUGGUUCUGGCAUCGAUGAAGAACGCAGCGAAAUGCGAUAAGUAAUGUGAAUUGCAGAAUUCAGUGAAUCAUCGAAUCUUUGAACGCACAUUGCGCCCGCCAGUAUUCUGGCGGGCAUGCCUGUCCGAGCGUCAUUUCAACCAUCAAGCCCCCGGGCUUGUGUUGGGGACCUGCGUCCGACCGCAGGCCCCGAAAACCAGUGGCGGGCUCGCUGUCCACACCGAGCGUAGUAGACAACCUCGCUGCGGAGUGGCGCGGGCGCCUGCCGUAAAAACCCCCACUUACCCAAGGUUGACCUCGGAUCAGGUAGGAAUACCCGCUGAACUUAAGCAUAUCAAUAAGCGGAGGA